rnacentral:misc_RNA from 1 species
AAAAAAAAAAAAACCAUAUGAGACACUAAUAUUUUUGAACAUUCCAUAAUUGCCUUUUUAGACCCAUAACUAAAUAUCAAACAAUUCUAGAAUGCACCGAAAAUUUAAUAAUAAGUUUUUUACUUGGAAAAUAUAUCCAUUGUUUCUCAAAUUUAUUAAAAACUGAGAUAUAGCUUCAUGUAAAUGCAAGCUCAAACCUUAGGAAGAGUCUAGAACAAAAUUCUUAAACAAAGUGGAAUAUAUACCAAGGUACUUAAAAGCAUAAAGCACACUUAAACCGAUGCAUCACCCAUCGCUUAAAGCGC